rnacentral:lncRNA from 1 species
UUGAGGCAAAUUUGCUUGGCCUCGAGGCAAAUUUGGCUUGACUCGAGGCAAUGUUGCGUUGCCUCCGUUGCCUUCACUUGAAAAUAUCCAAAAAAUAUCAUUCUUUCAAAUUCUCUCAAGAUGGUAUAUAAUGCCACUACAAACCAUUAAAUGUGACAAGAUGGUAGGUAGUGGCACUAGAUGCAUUGUUGUUUGUCUUCAUCCACAUGGAAGAGAUUAAGACCAAAAAUUUCUGAAUAGGGAACAAAGAAGCAAACCCGUGCCACUCUCGAUCAUCACCAUGCGAUCACUAGUCUUUCUGCCCAGCUUUAGCAUAAAGACAUCCAUUUUAUCUUAGAGCUCGGUGCUUGCCUUGAGUGCCUUGGGUUGCCUUGGAAGUUAAAACAUUGAGAUUGGUUGAAUGGUUUAUGUGAAUUGAAGUUUGGCAUUGUCAUUGGUCAUGAUUAUUUAAAAUUCUCUCGAGAUGGUAUGUAAUGGGAAGAAUGAAGGAAUGAUGCGUUGACAUUGGUCAUGAUUCUUUAAAAUUCUCUCAAGAUGGUAGACAGUGGCAUUAGAUGCAUCUUGACAAUAUUGACAAUGGUUAUGGUGUGUUGUUAAGGAAGUGAUGAUACAAAAUUAAGUGAUGAGUACAACAACAAUGGUUUGGGUUUGUUGUUAAGGAAGUGAUGAUACAAACUUAAGUGAUGAGAACAACAAAGCAAAGCUUUGGACAAGAUGAGGAAGGGAUGAUAAAGGUAGUGAUGAUACAAACUGAGAUUGGUCAUACAACAAAGCUUUGGGUAUUUCAUGCCACUAGAUGCAUUGUUGUUUCUUCUCAUCCACAUUCAUGUAUGUAUGUGGCGUGGCAAUAUUGAGAAUGGGUUGGGUUUGUUGUGAAAGGAAGUGAUGAGACAAAUUUAGGAAAGAAAGAAGCAAACCCUUUAACUCUCCAUCUUCACCAUGCCAAAGCUUUGGGUUUAUGUGAGUUAAAGCAAGUGAUGAGACAAAUUUAGGUGUAUGGGAACGAGGGUUUGGACAACAUGAGAAAGGGUCCGGGAAUGCAUCAAAAGUACGAAAUCUUUAAAACAAUGAAAUAUUGAAAGAAAAAAAAAGUAAAAAAAAAACACAAAAAAAGCCAAAAUCCUCCUACCCGAAGCACUAUUUCCUAUUACUAUUCAUCGACAAUCUUCGAAGUCGUCGUCGUCGAACUGUCGAAAUGUAUGGAAACAAGCAUGACAAAGAAUAAGCCUACAAUGAGAAUGUAUUCAUAAAUGUGAAAUGAUAGUUAGAAUGUAUGUAUAGAAAGUAGCGUCAUGAAUUUCCGGAAACCAAAAGACCUUCAAGAAUUGAAUAGGGGGUGCUUAAAAAUCCACAUUUUUUGGCCGUUUGGCCUACAAUUUUGGGCACUUUGGGAGGGCUUUUGGACAAGUAAACAAGGGUUGUUUUGAGAGAUUUGUUCACGGAUAGCAUGGGGAAGGGACGGGGAAGGGUUCAAAAUAGGAAAAACCCUAAAAAUGGAAAAUCAGAAAAAUUCGGGAAACUUUCAAAUGAGUUUUUGACGGCCUAAACGAGCUCAAACGAACAAAAUCCAUGUUGCAUCCCACGAUUUAGGAUUUAGGCCCAAUCCCUACAUGGAAAGGUAAAGUGCGUCUUCAUCAGACUCCAUCGAAGUUUCCAAAAGUUGCAUUUUAGUCCUUUUUCAAGGCAUUUUCCCUUUUUUCCCCCUUCCCGCCUUUUUUCCACUUGUUAUAGUACAGAAUAUUAUUCCUUACAUCCUCAUCUUUCCAACAAGGUAAGGCUCGCCUCCAUCGGACUCCGUCCAUCUUUUGCUCAAAUUCGGUUUUUCCCCCUUAUCUCUGCCUUCCCUUUGUUUUUCAAACUUUUUCCUUCUUCCUCCUCCUCUUUCCACAAAGGUAUGCCUCACCGCGAUCGGCCUCCAUCAAAAUUUUCCAAAAUUACACUUUGGUCCUCUGUCGUCGCUUUUCUGAAUAGUGACUCCUCCUCCGUCUUCAUCUGUCCCAAAGCAGUCCUUCCCUAUCUUGUGGGUCAACAGUGACUUCUUCUCCGUAUUCAUUGUUCCACAGUGCCUCUUUCUCCCCCUCCUCCGUUAACAGUUGCUUGCUUCUUUCCUACCUUUCGUCAACAGUGCUCCGUAGUGAACUUAAGAAAGGGUCGAGGAAUUGGUCAAUAGUCCUCCUUUGUGAACACUGGUCAUUUGUCACAAAAACUGUGAGUCUUGCUCCUUGGGAAAAUCCCUAUCUGGAAAGGUAAGAUGCGUCUCAAUCGGAGUCUAUCAAUCUUUUACCGAUAUUCCCAUUACGUCCUUUUGGUACAUAUUUUCUAUGUUUUGAGGUCGAAAACUUCUCGACACUAGAUUUGAAACAAAAGUUGAACAUAUGGAAUGUACCGAUGAAGUUGAUUUUAAUUUUGUAUGUGAUGAAGAUUUAGAAGUCUAUGAGAAGUUUGUUGAUGUAACGACCCGAAAUUUCUAAUUCGGAAGCUAAUUACUAAGAUAGGCCCCAAAUUCAAUUUCUUAGCAAAGUUCACUAAAAGAUUAAUCUCAAGUAUUUUACUAUGGAUGUAUCUAACCUUCUUGUUAGACUACCUACGUACCCUACUAAGGGAUCAAGCCAUUUGUAGUUCACAUUACGCUUCUAGAACAACAUACUAAAAUUUCAUUUCGAUCCAACGGUCAGAUCUCCGCCAAUCACGACAUUCGAGUGGCGGUCGACGUUUUAAUUUACUAACUUGCAAAUCCAAUUCGGGAAGAUCCGUACGUCAAAUUCCUGAUCCGUAAGUUCCUAAGGUCCUCAAAUAUUUCGAAUAAGAACCUAUUAAAGUUUGAUGACGAUCCAACUGUCGGAUCAUUGAUUCACAUAAUGACCUAGUAACGUAUCGUAGAGAAUUUAGGUUCAAACAAUCAACCUACGUCAUACGAAUAUCAAAACUGAAAUCAAGGCAUCUAAUUUAGCCUAAAAAUAGCAUCGACAACCCUCUGG